rnacentral:rRNA from 1 species
AUGGUGGUGCACGUACUGGAUAGCAAGAGCAGCAGCAACAUGCAACAAGCCAAGGAUCAGCGACUGGACAUGCCCUGGUCGCCGCCCGCCCAUGGCUGGACCAAAUUAAAUAUAGAUGGGAGCUACAUCAACGAAACAAGGGCGGCUGGUGGUGGAAUGGUGCUACGUGAUGACGCUGGUUCUAUUAUCUUUACUGCAUGCAGGCAGAUCACCACAUGUGAUGAUGGACUAGAGGCAGAGCUCAUGGCGUGCAGAGAAGGCCUUGAUCUUGCUCUUCAUCGCACCGGAUUACCCAUUGCGAUCGAGUUGGACUGCGCUCAGGCAGUCUUGAUGCUAAAUACGAGUCAUGGGGACCGCUCUCCAGACAGGACUUUUGUGCGCGACAUUCAGUUACUAAUGCCUGAGGACCCAUGA